rnacentral:rRNA from 1 species
AAGAGACAGCAGUAGCCGCGGUAAUACGUAGGGUGCAAGCGUUAAUCGGAAUUACUGGGCGUAAAGCGUGCGCAGGCGGUUAUAUAAGUCAGAUGUGAAAUCCCCGGGCUCAACCUGGGAACUGCAUUUGAGACUGUAUGGCUAGAGUGUGUCAGAAGGGGGUAGAAUUCCACGUGUAGCAGUGAAAUGCGUAGAGAUGUGGAGGAACACCGAUGGCGAAGGCAGCCCCCUGGGCCAAUACUGACGCUCAUGCACGAAAGAGUGGGGAGCAAACAGGAUUAGAUACCCGUGUAGUCCCUGUCUCUUAUAC